AGUGAACGCUGGCGGCGUGCUUAACACAUGCAAGUCAAACGAGAACGGGCUAUAGCUUGCUAUAGUUGUCAGCUAAGUGGCGCACGGGUGAGUAAUGUAUAGGUAAUAUGCCUCUUACUAAGGGAUAACAAAUGGAAACGUUUGCUAAUACCUUAUACUCCUUAUUAACAGAAGUUAAUAAGGGAAAGAUUUAUUGGUAAGAGAUUAGCCUGUAUUGUAUCAGUUAGUUGGUGGGGUAAUGGCUUACCAAGACUAUGACACAUAACUGGUUUGAGAGGAUGAUCAGUCACACUGGAACUGAGACACGGUCCAGACUCCUACGGGAGGCAGCAGUGGGGAAUAUUGCACAAUGGACGAAAGUCUGAUGCAGCAACGCCGCGUGGAGGACGACACAUUUCGGUGCGUAAACUCCUUUUAUAUGAGAAGAUAAUGACGGUAUUAUAUGAAUAAGCACCGGCUAACUCCGUGCCAGCCGCCGCCGUAACAC
rnacentral:rRNA from 1 species